rnacentral:lncRNA from 1 species
AGCUUCUGAAAAAUCUUCAUGCUAAAGGAUAAUCCAGAAUUCCCUGAAGAAGAACAUAGUGAAUGCUGCUUUGGAGGUUUAAACCUGACCUGCAAGCAUCCCUUUCAGUUCUGAUCUCAAGUCCCUUGAGCAGGGAUUGUCAGCCUUGAUGAACUCUCUCAGAGGGAAGGCUACCAGGCUGAUGAGCUUAUACAACCUUUACUGCUGGUGAGUUCAAACUCAGCUUGGCUUCACAGUCCUCAC